GGAAAUACAAAAAAAUAAAAUGUUCUCUUAGAGCUUUUAGAGGUAAAAAGUUUAUUUCUGUUUUGUGUAAGAAAACUAAAAUUUCUCUUUGGCCUGACAAUAUUUUGAUGUUUUAAACUUGCUUGCAAUUUCUCCCUGUGUUUUGGAUUCACUUAUGCCUGGCUAUCCCUUACCAGAUAACCACCCUCUCUAAAACCUUCCUGGUGCCUCAUAAAUUCUGGCUCCCGCUGACCAAAUUACAUUUCUCUCUAAACCUCAGUGGCAGCUCAUAAAUUCUAAGGUCUGGAGCUGAAUUUAUUUUCUACGUUGUAAUGUUAGCCAUGUGGAUCCUUAACCUGCUAUUUGCCUUUGUACUAUGAUUGUCAAAAUCUUGUUAGCUGUAAGUACCUUAGACACCCACCUCCUUUGUAACUUUUUGUGCUGUAAAAACUUUUUCCUGAAUAUCAGGGGGAUGAUCUCUAGCAUGGAAUCUUGUAAGAGACCAUCCUGGCCAGCUUUUAUGUACACAAUACAAUAUUUAUUUAAUUUGAUUUGAAAUUUGAGUUGGUGGUCUUUUCUUUGUGUUUUGGUUUAACAUUAACUUUUUUUUAACUUCACUAUAAAUAAAACCAAAGAACACAACAAAAUUCCUGUAAAUGAGCCAGGUGCAUAAAAAUAGUCAUUCUUUAUUGCAAGCACAGAAUUCAUUAUAAAAAUGAUAUAAGCUUAAAAAUUAAAAGAUAUCUCAAAUAUCAAGGGAGUUUAGGAGUUAAUUUUUUUUCUUUCAGAAUAUAGGUAGCAAAAUAGGAGAAAAGAGAAAAUGUGAAGCAUAAAUAUAUUAAGUUAUAUGCAAAAAAAUCACCAAAAUAUUUAUUACAAAAAAAAAUCAUAUCUACAGAAAUGGUUCAAGAGAAGCAGUCUUUUUGUCAGAAAUAAACAUUUGGACAGGAAUGGAAGUUUUGGUUCUCUUUUUAAGUAGUUUUACUCCUAGUGAAUAAUCUUUACACUAUUUCUGCGUUUUACUGGUUGGAAUUAAUUAUAAUUAAUAUAUCUGCGUAAAAGGUACUGAAUGCAGAAAAAUAUUAUUGCUCAUGUUUAAAUCACCUACAUUAUUUGAUCUUUCACUUUUUAAACCAAAAAUCUGCAUAAAACCAUUUCUUAAUAAAUAUCUCUAUUUCUGUAUAUUAGCAGAAACUGAGUUAUAAAAUUGGCUAUGAAAACUUGUCUCUUCAUGUACUUAAAGACUAUGAAUUUGCUGCUUAGCACUUAUGUAUAAUUCUCUAUGGUGCUCUCUAGUUAUUUGUGUCUCUAUGCCAAGUUUUAUACCAAGCUCUUAGUAUGUGCCAUAAUUACUCUAUGUAGCAAUGUAGGAUUUAUGUCUUAUUUGUGACACUUUGUUCCCAGAACUGUGUCUAAAGGGAAAUAUGUACAAAAUAAUUAUCCAGGAAAAAAAUCUAUCUAAUAUUAUAUUUUAUUUUAUAUUUAUUUAUAUAUUUAUGUAUACAUACUUUUAUUAUUUACAAACACACUUUGGUCUGAAACUACAGUGAUACCAGUGUAUUUUAGCUUCAAUUGGUUGUGUGAAACAAACUAAAAAGACUUUUCUCUGUGUUGGUUGGUAAUUUCUGCAACCUCAGGAACCUAGUGAAUAAUAGCAUAAAUAAAUAAGUAACUCUCUAGUUUGAGGCAGAACCACCAAACUCAAUGAUGUUUUGCUUCUGCUUUCUAUCUUGAUUAUUAGAAACAUACCUUUAAAUUUACAUGGAACACUUUUGGAAUUCUGUUCUGUUAGUUCUUCUAAAAAAAACAAUUAAAGUGAAAAAUAAUGCACUAAAUUAAAUGAUCUAAAUUUACUCCCUAAGUGCUAAACCAAGAAAGAUAAAUAAUUAAUUUCAAACAAUUCAUUUCUUAAAAUAAAUAUUUUUUUUCAAAUCACCAGAAAUUCUGAAAAUUUAGAAAAUUUAAAAGCUUUAGAAAUAUCCUAAGGAAAUUUCUCUUUUGCUCAGAACAGUAGACUAUAUCUCCAACUCAUUCUUCUCUAGAAUUGGACUGUGUGAAAAUAUGAAAAAAAAAAGUGCUAAGAUGCCCCACAUGGCUUAAAAGUUUUAAAAUCCUGAAAGGAGCUCAAAUCUGACAUUUUUCUACUUUACAAAAUACAAAAUCUUAAAUUUGUGUACUUAAAAAACAUUUGCAGAAGUGUAAUUCAAAAUGACUAAAAAAAUGAAAAAAAUCACUAAAGACUGACCCACUGAACAUGAGGGACUUAUAAUAUUGAAUCCCUUAUAUUAAAUGUCUUUUUAUCAUUGUCAAAAUUUUCCAUGUUUAUAUUAUCAAUAUGUUAAUCAAAAUUUUUAUACAUUUAAUAACAAAUAUCUAAUUUCCUAUUUUAUUCAGUCUUUUAAAAAAUAGUAGUAAUUAAUAUUAAUAAUUUAAUUCUCAUACUUGUUAAAGUAGGAAACAUAUAUUUUAAAAGCUAUGGCUAUAGCAAAUGAAAAAUCCAGCCUAAUUUCCUUUUUAGAUUGGGAGCCAUCUCAUCACAAAGGCAUGAAAAGUUAAUUUCUGCUUCAUUAUAAAUUACUGUGAUUUGUAAACUUGCUUGAAAUGCCUGUCAGUGCCUUGAACUCACCCAUGUCUGGUUUUCCCUGAUAACAACCCUCCCUGAAACUUUAGUGAUGACUCAUGAAUUCUGGCUUUCCCUGACCAAAUAACAACUCAUUCUGAAACUUUAUUGGGGCCUCAUAAAUUCUGAUGUUGUGAUCUAAAUUUACUCCCUAAGUGCUAAACCAUUUACACCAUUAACCUACUACGUGCUUGUGAAAAUCCUGUUAUUCGUGUAAGUUUUCAAGACACCCCACUUUUGUAACUUUUUGUGCUAUAAAACUACAGUCCUAGAGAACUGGAGUUCUGUCUUCUUUUCUCAUGGGUUUCAGGAAAGACUGUUAUGCUCAAAUGUGGGACCCCCAAAGGACCACCAGAGACCAAGAUCCAUGUAAGCACCAAAGAGGUGUUUAUUGCAAGCUAGCUCAGUCCCCCCCACACACACACAGCAACU
rnacentral:lncRNA from 1 species